AGAAUUCUAAAUAUGAAAGCAAAGAUACAGAGGUAAAAAAGAAGAGGUUAAGUAAAAGUUCUGCAAUCUUGAAUAUAAUUGAAAGUAUCACUAUGAAUACAGGGGGUAUUUUUAAUCUCACAUCAAUCUUGGCCAAAGGCAUCCAAACCCAAAUCUGAUUCCAUCUCUGAAUUCAGAUGUAGGAAUCCAACUGCAGAAAAUGCCAAAAAUGGAGGAAAAUCCUGACCUGUACCAUGAGCACACAAUCAACUAAGUCAAGACGGACAGAAAUUCUACAAGUCAAUAACCCAGGGUUCUUCAACAAAACUGAAAGGAAAAGAAAGACAGUGGGGUAUCAAUCAAGAGAGGCACAGAACCACCCUAAAAGAGGGUGCCAGCAGUCUCCAACCCUACAUUUACAGGAAUCAUUUUCUUUGAGGAAGUGAGCAUUACAGCAACAGAACACUCUACUUCUAAUAUUUGACAGUGGAAUGAUGUUCAUUUCUACUUUUCAGCUAUUACUAAGUCAGAAAAUGGUUAAAUUUCCUUUAUCAAAUGUUCUGGGUUUCUGACAAAGGUACUUAGAGCAUACAAGAAGUUGAGGGUAAUUUUUCAUUUAAUAAAAGACAU